GGAGACGUAUCGAAGUGGUCAUAACGGGCCUGACUCGAAAUCAGGUAGCCCUCCGGGGCUCGUGGGUUCGAAUCCCACCGUCUCCG
rnacentral:tRNA from 1 species